rnacentral:rRNA from 1 species
CUCAAGAACGAACGCUGGCGGCAGGCCUCAAACAUGCAAGUCUAGGGGGUGUAGCAAUACAUCACCGGCGGACGGGUGCGUAACGCGUGGGAAUAUACCAAUCGAUUCGGAACAACUGAGGGAAACUUCAGCUAAUACCGAAUACGUCCUAACGGAGAAAGAUUUAUCGUCGAUAGAUUAGCCCGCGUUCGAUUAGCUAGUUGGUGGGGUAACGGCCCACCAAGGCGACGAUCGAUAGCUGUUCUGAGAGGAAGAUCAGCCACACUGGGACUGAGACACGGCCCAGACUCCUACGGGAGGCAGCAGUUGGGAAUCUUGGACAAUGGGGGAAACCCUGAUCCAGCCAUGCCGCGUGAGUGAUGAAGGCCUUCGGGUUGUAAAACUCUUUCGCGCACGACGAUAAUGACGGUAGUGCGAGAAGAAGCUCCGGCUAACUUCGUG